UUUCCGUAGUGAACCUGCGGAAGGAUCAUUAAUAAAUUUUUUAGGUUGAAUUUAGAACCUAAAAAUAUAAUAAUCCUACCCUUUGGAAUUUGUUUGAAAUAAUUUUUAAAAAAAUUAUUUAUAGUUUGUCUAUCCUGAGUUGUAAGAAGUAUUCUUGAAACUAGGAAUAGGCUUUAUCUAUAAAUAAUGAUUUUAAAGACCUUUUUUAAAUUAAACUUUUGUAUUCAUUGUCUAAAUUUAUUUUUAAUAAUUUAAAAACAACUUUUGACAAUGGAUCUCUUGGUUCUCGCACGAUGAAGAACGCAGCAAAAUGCGAUAAGUAAGUGAAUUGCAGAUACGUGAAUCAUCAAAUCUUCGAACGCAUAUUGCACUUUUUUAGUUUACUAAAAAAGUAUGUCUGUUGAGUAUCAGUAAAAUAUCUCAUAAAAAAUUAUUUUUAUGGUUUGAGUGUUUACAACGAUACAAGUUGUUUCACUUUAAAUUGACUUUAAAUUGCCUAUUAAUUUAGUCAUUUUUAAAUUGCAUAAAAGUUUCCCGUAAAAAGGAUAACCUAUCAAUUUUAAAUUAACUGAUAUUAAAGGCCUUGAUAAAAGGAAUUUAAUUAAAUAACUUGAUCUCAAUCAGAUAAGAGUACCCGCUGAACUUAAGCAUAUCAAUAAGCGGAGGAAAAGAACUAACAAGGAUUCCCUAGUAACGGCGAGUGAAGCGGGAAGAGCUCAAAUUUGAAAUCUUCAAGGUUGACCUUGACGAAUUGUAGUUUAAAGAGUGUUUUCGGUUAGAGGAGUGUAAAAGUUCUUUGGAUAGGACAUCAUAGAGGUGAGAAUCCGUAUUUGACCAUUCUUUCUAGCUUUGUGAUACACUUCAAGAGUCGGAUUGUUUGGGAAUGCAGUCCAAAAUGGGUGGUAAAUUUCAUCUAAAGCUAAUAUUGGCGAGAGACCGAUAGCGAACAAGUACCGUGAGGGAAAGAUGAAAAGAACUUGAAAAGAGAGUUAAACAGUACGUGAAAUUGUCAAAGGGAACGUUUGACACCAGUGUUGUUUUUCCGAAAAUCAAUUAAAAUGAUUCAUGCCAGUUGUAUUGACCUAUCAGCUUGCAAUUUGGUUUUGGGUCUUUUUGAUGCACUUUUCGGUAACAGUCAACAUCAAUUUCCUUUGCUGUUAGAGGGCAGAAGGAAGGUGGCUUCAAUUUCGGUUGAAGUGUUAUAGCCUUUGUCUCUGCAGUCGGGGAGAUUGAGGUCUGCAGCGUAGAUCCUUCGGGUUAGAUACAUCGUGCUAAGUUAUAGCCUUUAUAACAACUUGUUGACUAUGAUCGGUCUUGUAAUUUACUCGCGAGUGCUAUUUUACCUACGCUUGGAUGUU
rnacentral:misc_RNA from 1 species